rnacentral:rRNA from 1 species
GAGCGGUAGAGAGAAGCUUGCUUCUCUUGAGAGCGGCGGACGGGUGAGUAAUGCCUAGGAAUCUGCCUGGUAGUGGGGGAUAACGUUCGGAAACGGACGCUAAUACCGCAUACGUCCUACGGGAGAAAGCAGGGGACCUUCGGGCCUUGCGCUAUCAGAUGAGCCUAGGUCGGAUUAGCUAGUUGGUGAGGUAAUGGCUCACCAAGGCGACGAUCCGUAACUGGUCUGAGAGGAUGAUCAGUCACACUGGAACUGAGACACGGUCCAGACUCCUACGGGAGGCAGCAGUGGGGAAUAUUGGACAAUGGGCGAAAGCCUGAUCCAGCCAUGCCGCGUGUGUGAAGAAGGUCUUCGGAUUGUAAAGCACUUUAAGUUGGGAGGAAGGGUUGUARAUUAAUACUCUGCARUUUUGACGUUACCGACAGAAUAAGCACCGGCUAACUCUGUGCCAGCAGCCGCGGUAAUACAGAGGGUGCAAGCGUUAAUCGGAAUUACUGGGCGUAAAGCGCGCGUAGGUGGUUUGUUAAGUUGGAUGUGAAAUCCCCGGGCUCAACCUGGGAACUGCAUUCAAAACUGACUGACUAGAGUAUGGUAGAGGGUGGUGGAAUUUCCUGUGUAGCGGUGAAAUGCGUAGAUAUAGGAAGGAACACCAGUGGCGAAGG